GUUGUGUUUGUGUGGAUCGUGUGGUAAGAAGAGAAAAGCGAGCAUUUUUAAUGCCUUUUUUAUUUAGUUUUUAUUUUGUUACGGUAAAUAACAUAUCAGUUAUUUGAUUGUAGAUGUUUAGAAAUGCUGUUACUUUUAUUAUAAUUUACGUACAAAACGUUACAGUAUUAUUUGAUAUGUUACCUUUGAUUUACUGUUCGGCCAUAUUGGAAAACUUUUGUUUACGAACAUUUGCAUUGUUUAUGUGGCGCCUCCUGGUGGUACCUUUAACUGUGGAAUCUGUUUUUUACCAAAUUAUUUUAAUUUAAUUUUAAUUACCCAACGUUUGUGUUUAAAAAAAGUUUUAGAGCAUUUUUGUUAUUUUGUUUUGCUAAAUAAGAUAUCUGUUGAGUGUAGAUGUUUAGAAAUGCUGUUAUUUUGAAAAUUAGCGUACAAAGCGUUGAUUUAACUUUUCGGCCAUCUUGGAAAUCGUUUUCGUUUGUCACCUCAGUCAAUUUCAUGCACAUUUAUUUUAAUUACACGACGUUUAAGUAAAACAAAAAAAACUGAAACCGACAAGUUUUUAAUGCAUUUUAAUUUUGUUUUUAUUUUCUUAGGCUAAAUAUCAUAUACCUUUUAUAGUGUAAAUGAUUAGAAAUGCUGUUACUUUGAGAAUUAUCAUACUAAACGUUAGUUUAACUUUUCGGCCAUCUGUAAAAUAAUUUCCGUUUAUGCUACCUCAGUGAAUUUCACCCUGUAUAAAAAAUUGUGUAUUCGAGGGGGUUUAUGUGGCGCCUCCUGGUGGUAAACUCGUUUUUCCGAAAAAGAAAAAUUAUGCCACUCCACUGCAAAAUCUUUUUUGGACCAAAUUAUUAAAAUUUUAUUUCAAUUACCCGACGUUCAUGUAAAACAAAAAAUGGAAACUGACGAGUUUUUAACGCAGUUUUAGUUUGUUUUUAUUUUGUUACGCUAAAUAUCAUAUCAUAUCAUUUUUUUGUGUAGAUGUUUUAGAAAUUCUGUUACUAUGAGAAUUAACAUACAAAACGUUGUUUAGCUGUUUUGCUAUUUCUGAAAUUGUUUCCGUUUUUGUUAAAAUUGUAUUUUCGAGAGUUUUUAUGUGGCGCCUCCUGGUGGCAAACUCGUUUUCUCCAAAAAUUUACGCCACUCAACUGUAAAAUCUAUUUUUGACCAAAUUAUUUUUAUUUCAUUUUACUUACCCAAUAUUUAUGUAAAACAAACAAAAAAUAAGCGGCAAAAACUGUUACAAACUGACAAGUUUUUAACACAUUAUUAUUUUGUUUUUAUUCUGUUACACUAAAUAUUGUUAAGCAGUUUCCGUUUUUGUUAUAUCGGUCAAUUUCACGCUGUUACGAAAAUUGUGUUUUCGAGGGGGUUUAUGCGGCGCCUCCUGGUGGUAAACUCGUUUUUCGGAUCAAAUCGAAACCACUCUAAUGCAACAUCUGUUCUUAAAGCAGAUUCUGUUUCUUUAAACAUGGCGCCGCCCAGUGGACAGUGGCUGUCGCUGCGGUCGGGUGGAGCCCCCUGGUGGUGGAGUGAGUGUACUGCACGCUGGGUUGUGUGAAUUGUUUGUUGUAGAAUUUUAGAUUAACUCAAUUUACUGUGUCUUCCACUCAAACUGUACAUACUGUAGAAAACUUCACCCAUCCGUCAAACUGGAACUGUACAUACAUCCUGACUGCAUGACUCGCACACACACACACACACACACACACACACACACGUCUUGUUUCUGGUCUUUUUUUUAAAGUGUUUUUAUGCAUGACUCGAUAUUUUACACAAGUGCAAUAUUAGUUAAGGUCACGAACUGAAGCUCAGUUUGCAGGACUUUUAUUUUGAUAGGACUUUUAUUUUGAUAGGCCGUAGUUUAACUGUGUGUAGGAUGUGAUGAACUUUAACCGUGACGCUGCAUGAGUUUUAUAUGGUUUAAUAGAUUUAGAUUUUAUGAUUUUAUGUGUAUUUAUUCGUGUGUUUAAACCGAAUGAUGAGAAAGUGAACAAAAGACUUAAUUAAGUUUUAUUUUAAUAUUAAUUUUGUUUACAUUUCUGAUCUCGGGGGAGGAGUUUACACUCGUUCUGGGUUUUGGAGGAAUGUUUCAGUGUUUUUAAUUUUUAUGUUUUAGCGACGUUUCGGAGUAAAAUCCAAAAAGUGCUUCAGUCUUCGAAAUCUGACUCACUGGCUCACUGAAUCACUGAAUUGUGGGUGUGAAUCUUUUAGUUGAUUCGAUUCAGUGAAUCAUAAAAUCUCAUAUUUCGCCACAGCCGAGUUUUCAAGUCUUUUUGGUACGACUUAAAAUUUUGGUACAGCUUUAAAUUUUUUAAAAAUAGCCUUUUAUUUUUUUAUGUUUCAUUUUUGCACAUUAUUGAAUAUGAUACUAUAAUAUACUAUUAAUACUUCAGUACAUUAGUGUGUUUGUUUUUGAAAUAUUAAAAAUAUUAAUAUAAUAACAUGCAAUAAUUAUUUCACGUGUCGUUUAUAUAAAAUUAUGUAAAAUUGUGGAGAAUAUGAACAAUUACAGUUUUAUUUAGGUAUUAUAUUUUGCUGGGUUAACUAUUUACAUAAUAAAUACAAUUCAUUGUUUUUAUUUAACGCUUACAUUCUGAAUUAAUAACAAAUAACAUUUAAAAUCCUGUUUAAUAAUUCAUAAAUGUAGUUUAAACCUUUAAAAAUCACUUUUGGAAUGUGAGAUUUUGUGAUUCACUGAAUCGUUUGCAGAAGAAUCAAACAGGUAACUGAAUCGUUUUGAGAUUUACCUGCUACAGGUGCUCUGGAUCAGAACUCAGUUUCAAAUCUAACUUUAGUAUCUGAAUCUGAAUGUUCAAAUGUAUUAAAAUAAGAUUUUAGAGGUCAUAAAAUUAAAAUUUGACAAUGCUUUUCUGUGUUUUGAAUGUAAGUUGGUAAUAUUUGCUGUUUAAAAUUUUUAAGUAACUUGUGAUUUUCAUAUUUUAAAUAUUCAGAUCCAUAUAUUCAGUACUGAGCUUAGAUCUAAAGAGUUUAAAUCACAUGGACUUACAUUUAUGGAUAAGAUGAAUUUAAUUCAUAUAUACAAAAUUCAGAUUCAAAUACUAAUUUUUUGACUCCAUACUGUAUACGCUACUCGAUUCCUGAUCCAAGCAUUUAUUCUGACUUUGCCAAAUUAAUUUAGUUUCAUUCAAUUCAGUUCAGUUUAAUUCAGUUCUAUUCAAUUCAGUUAAUUUAGCUUCGUGAGGUUUAGCUCAAUUCAGUUCCGUUCAAUUCAGUUCUGUUCAAUUCAGUUCAGUUUAAUUCAGUUCCGUUCAAUUCAGUUUAGCUCAAUUCAGUUCCGUUCAAUUCAGUUCCGUUCAAUUCAGUUGUUUAAUUCAGUUCCGUUCAAUUCAGUUGUUUAAUUCAGUUCCGUUCAAUUCAGUUCAGUUUAAUUCAGUUCCAUUCAAUUCAGUUCAGUUUAAUUCAGCUUUGUAAAAUUCAGUUCAGUUCCAUUCGGUUUUAUUCAACUCAGUUUCGUUCAAUUCAGUUCCAUUCAAUUAAGUUCAAUUUAAUUCAGUUCCAUUUAAUUCAUUUUAGUUCAGUUCAGUUUAAUUCAGUUCUCUGAAUGGUUUUAUUUUGUUAUUAUAGUUGUUGGUUUGUGAUGAUCAGAUGAGGACUGUAUGAGUGUAGUCUGAGUAUUAACGAGGGGACUGUACUAAUGGAUGUAAUUAAUAAUAUUAAUAUUAAUGUGGCUGUGGGAGGAGUUUGUUGGACAGUGGGCGGGAUCAUUGACCUGAUUUACAUAUCAUUAACACACUCUUCACCUGACAGUGUAAAACACAGACACACACUGUUCUACAGCAGUAUUAACAAUCUCACAUUUUAUAUCUUCAUCUAAUAUUUAAUUAUUAUUUUAAAAAAAGUUGGUUCUGUGAACCAUGACUGUCUGUGGAAAAAAACGAAAUAAAAAAAAAAGUACCUGAAAAUUCAGAAA